rnacentral:rRNA from 1 species
ACGAACGCUGGCGGCGUGCCUAAUACAUGCAAGUAGAACGCUGAAGGAGGAGCUUGCUUCUCCGGAUGAGUUGCGAACGGGUGAGUAGCGCGUAGGUAACCUGCCUGGUAGCGGGGGAUAACUAUUGGAAACGAUAGCUAAUACCGCAUAACAGUAGAUGUUGCAUGACAUUUGCUUAAAAGGUGCAAUUGCAUCACUACCAGAUGGACCUGCGUUGUAUUAGCUAGUUGGUGAGGUAACGGCUCACCAAGGCGACGAUACAUAGCCGACCUGAGAGGGUGAUCGGCCACACUGGGACUGAGACACGGCCCAGACUCCUACGGGAGGCAGCAGUAGGGAAUCUUCGGCAAUGGACGGAAGUCUGACCGAGCAACGCCGCGUGAGUGAAGAAGGUUUUCGGAUCGUAAAGCUCUGUUGUAAGAGAAGAACGAGUGUGAGAGUGGAAAGUUCACACUGUGACGGUAUCUUACCAGAAAGGGACGGCUAACUACGUG